CACCAAGUGCCCCUGUGUGGGAGCCUGCCCUCCCCGCUGGGUGGGGAUCAGGGUAUUUUGGGAUCCCAGAGCCAUGGGAAAGGGCAGGGCACCUCUAGCCAGGCUGCAGCUGACCUUAUUUCUGCCCCAAGGUUUGGCUUGGGGACACGAAGCCACGGGAAGGAGCAGGAGGGGCUGAGCUCCCAGCUGAGCUCCCCAGCAGGAAAAGUGAGAUGGCAAAGCAAAAACCUCUCUGGGAUGUGUCCUGCAGGAAAAUGAUGGAUGCCCUGCACGGGAGCUGGAACACGCACGGAGUUCUCAGGGCUGAGCGUUCCCAUUCUGGCACGUGGAGAAGCCACCGGGUGCCCUUUGAUCACUGCUGGCCCUGCCACCUGCUGAGCUGCCUGGGUGACAAAUUGCCUGGAAUUAAUCGCAGCCCCUGUUUGCAGGCUCUGGAAGUGUGUGCGAUGCACUCGGGCAUGUGGCACACAGAGCCCUGAGGGGUGGCUGCUGUCCGGGACAAGGAGGAACAGCAGCACCGGGUGGCAUGUGGGGAGGUCCAGAGAUGAGCCAGGGGGGGUCAAUCUGGUGGUUCAUGCUUGGAUUUUCCUUGAUUGGUUCCUUUUUUUAAGACCACAGACAGCACCAGCCAUGAAAAUGAAGAUUUUACUCACUGUCAGUGCCUUAUUUUGAAUAAUUGUUGCAACAGCAACAAUUUGCACCCCCUGAGUUUGUAUUUUUGUUUUCAUGGUCAUAAAUUCCUUUUUUUUUUCCCAGAUCCAGCCCACUGACAAUUGGUGUGGAGUCAGCCCGGGCUUGUCCUGCAGGAUCCUCCAUUUGUGGAAAAACUGUUGGGAGAGAAGAUGAACCUUUGUGAGAAAGAUUUGAAAAACUGGAUGCCGGACUAGAAAACCACCUUUUCCUGUUCCUGUAUCCCUGCUGCAGCUCCCUCAUCUAUAGCCAGGAAUUGUUGAGCACUGGAUAUUUCACUGCUGAUUUCUGAGGGUUCCUCAUCUCCUGAGGGCUGGAAUUGCUGGGGGCUGAGUGGUUGUGGAGGUGGAGUCACUGGCAGCUUUGCUCUGAAUGAAGGAGCUCACCUUAGAAAA